UACGUAGGGUGCAAGCGUUGUCCGGAAUUAUUGGGCGUAAAGGGCGCGUAGGCGGCCUUCUAAGUCGAACGUGAAAUCCCUGGGCUCAACCCAGGAACUGCGUCCGAUACUGGAAGGCUUGAAUCCGGGAGAGGGAUGCGGAAUUCCAGGUGUAGCGGUGAAAUGCGUAGAUAUCUGGAGGAACACCGGUGGCGAAGGCGGCAUCCUGGACCGGCAUUGACGCUGAGGCGCGAAAGCCAGGGGAGCAAACGGG
rnacentral:rRNA from 1 species